UGGGGAAUAUUGGACAAUGGGGGCAACCCUGAUCCAGCAAUGCCGCGUGUGUGAAGAAGGUCUUCGGAUUGUAAAGCACUUUCGACGGGGACGAUGAUGACGGUACCCGUAGAAGAAGCCCCGGCUAACUUCGUGCCAGCAGCCGCGGUAAUACGAAGGGGGCUAGCGUUGCUCGGAAUGACUGGGCGUAAAGGGCGUGUAGGCGGUUUACACAGUCAGAUGUGAAAUCCCCGGGCUUAACCUGGGAGCUGCAUUUGAUACGUGUAGACUAGAGUGUGAGAGAGGGUUGUGGAAUUCCCAGUGUAGAGGUGAAAUUCGUAGAUAUUGGGAAGAACACCGGUGGCGAAGGCGGCAACCUGGCUCAUGACUGACGCUGAGGCGCGAAAGCGUGGGGAGCAAACAGGAUUAGAUACCCUGGUAGUCCACGCUGUAAACGAUGUGUGCUAGAUGUUGGGUAACUUUGUUAUUCAGUGUCGCA
rnacentral:rRNA from 1 species